rnacentral:rRNA from 1 species
GACGAACGCUGGCGGCGUGCCUAACACAUGCAAGUCGAACGGAGAUACUUUUGAAGCUUGCGAUAAAGUAUCUUAGUGGCGGACGGGUGAGUAACGCGUGGGUAAUCUGCCCAUAAGUGGGGAACAACAGUUGGAAACGACUGCUAAUACCGCAUAAUCUGCCUUAGGGUAGGAAAGGUGGCCUCUUAACAAUGCUGCCGCUUAUGGAUGAGCCCGCGUCUGAUUAGCUAGUUGGUGGGUAAAGGCCUACCAAGGCGACGAUCAGUAGCCGGCCUGAGAGGGUGAACGGCCACACUGGGACUGAGACACGGCCCAGACUCCUACGGGAGGCAGCAGUGGGGAAUAUUGCGCAAUGGGGGAAACCCUGACGCAGCGACGCCGCGUGAGCGAAGAAGGCCUUAGGGUUGUAAAGCUCUGUUUUAGGGACGAAUGUCGUGGGGAGUAAUAUGACCUACGAAUGACGGUACCCUAAGAGGAAGCCCCGGCUAACUACGUGCCAGCAGCCGCGGUAAACACG